AUUGAACGCUGGCGGCAUGCCUUACACAUGCAAGUCGAACGGUAGAGGGGCAACCCUCGAGAGUGGCGAACGGGUGAGUAAUGCAUCGGAACGUGCCCAGUAGUGGGGGAUAGCCCGGCGAAAGCCGGAUUAAUACCGCAUACGACCUCAGGGGGAAAGCGGGGGACUCGCAAGAGCCUCGCGCUAUUGGAGCGGCCGAUGUCAGAUUAGGUAGUUGGUGGGGUAAAGGCCCACCAAGCCGGCGAUCUUUAGCUGGACUGAGAGGACGAACAGCCACACUGGGACUGGGACACGGCCCAGACUCCUACGGGAGGCAGCAGUGGGGAAUUUUGAACAAUGGACGAAAGUCUGAUCCAGCCAUGCCGCGUGCGGGAAGAAGGCCUUCGGGUUGUAAACCGCUUUUGUCAGGGAAGAAAUCUUCUGGGCUAAUACCCCGGGAGGAUGACGGUACCUGAAGAAUAAGCACCGGCUAACUACGUGCCAGCAGCCGCCGUAACAC
rnacentral:rRNA from 1 species